rnacentral:rRNA from 1 species
UGCGUAGGCGGUGCAGCAAGUCGGGAGUGAAAUCCCACAGCUCAACUGUGGAAUUGCUUUCGAUACUGCUGUGCUUGAGUGAGAUAGAGGUAAGCGGAACUUAGGGUGGAGCGGUGAAAUGCGUUGAUAUCCUAAGGAACACCGGUGGCGAAGGCGGCUUACUGGGUCUCUACUGACGCUGAUGCACGAAACGCGAGGGAGACGGAAC